CAUCAUUCUGCGUCAAACAAUCAAUCCGCUUGGACAUUAAUUUGCAAGGGCCUGCAAGGCCAUAGACCGAGAAUUAUCCCGCGAUACUUCUCCAUGAUCUCACCUGUAUAAUUUGCACAUCAGGCCAACAACCAAGAAGUUCCACGACCAGCGACCAGAAUGACGUCGAUCCAUAUUAAUCAAAAACAAAACUCGGAGAAUUUCAACCACAAACUUAAAGUAAAGAAUAAUUCACCGCCAACAAGCGAGAUGUUGAAUUAUUGUGACCGAGGGCAGAUAUUUUUGCACUGCACAGCCGCUUUGAUAUUAAAAUUGAGUCAAAGGGAACACAACCGACAGCGCUGAACUCAAGUGAUCAUGAGUGCCAUACCAAUAUGGGGGAAACCAAGAUCGUGUAAAAUGAGUACGGAAUAUCAGCUCUUUUAAAAGGUCUAGUCACUACACACCCCACAGCCUACAUACCAGGCGCACGCAUCGCCUCUUGGUUAAAGAUGUUUCAAUGUAUACAAAUACGCCCUCCAAUUGUUACAUUCAACGUUAUUGACAAAUAAUAAAAAACUAACUUCUAUCUUA